UGGGGAAUUUUCCGCAAUGGGCGAAAGCCUGACGGAGCAAUGCCGCGUGGAGGUGGAAGGCCUACGGGUCGCCAACUUCUUUUCUCAGAGAAGAAACAAUGACAGUAUCUUAGGAAUAAGCAUCGGCUAACUCUGUGCCAG
rnacentral:rRNA from 1 species